AGAUUAGAGAAAUGAAGCCUGCACAAACCCAGGGAGGUUUUCAGCAGACACGAGGGAUGGCAGCAAUCAUUCACCAGAAAGUCUCACAUAGGAGAUUUUCAUUGAUAGUGCAAACUUAAUUUGUAUAUCUAAAGAUGAAGUACCUUCCUUUUCCGGUAAAAGUCAUUUCCUUUGUCAGGGGACGUCUUUAUUGGCCUCAGAACCUCCUAAAAGAUUCCCAUAGCUUAUCUUCCUUCCAUUUCUAAGACUAGAGAGGAAUUUCUAAGAUGAAAUAGGGAAGUUAGGUUUAGCCAUGAGCUGAAGUCACAUAAAUAAUCUGCAAAUGUACUCAUCACAAGGAAAAGACUUUAAUGGUCCUUUCAUAAUCUUUUUCAAAGGAAAAAAAAAAAAGGAUAACCCUCAGCUUUAUUCUGACAUUUUCCCUCGAUGAUGCCAAUCAAGGCAUUUAUUGGUUAGUAUAACCAGAAGACUGUACUCAUGAAUAUUUUGACAUUUAAAGAAGGAUAAUAAAGGAACAGAUAUAUAAGCUUGCCUGCCAAAGGAUAUAGUGAUAUGCUGCAUAACAGCCACCUUGGCAAUAAUGUGCUUCUCCACUAUAAGGGAGAAAAAUGAAGCGGCCCAGAGACAACAAUGAAAGAAUUUGAAAGCAUUUUCCCAGAGUUGACGCCAAGAGAGCUAUAUUCCAAAACUUGGACCCAUGCUGACUCAUUGCCUAACUGUAAGGAAGUCAUUUUAUCUUUUUAUACUUUUAUAUCUGACUCUUUGUACAAUGGCUGUAUGUUUUAUCUUCUUUUCAAGUCAAAUGUAAUGUCAAAAAAUAAACCACAG
rnacentral:lncRNA from 1 species